rnacentral:rRNA from 1 species
AACGAACGCUGGCGGCAGGCUUAACACAUGCAAGUCGAACGCAUCCUUCGGGGUGAGUGGCAGACGGGUGAGUAACGCGUGGGAACGUGCCCUUCAGUUCGGGAUAACCCAGGGAAACUUGGGCUAAUACCGGAUACGUGCGAGAGCAGAAAGAUUUAUCGCUGAAGGAACGGCCCGCGUCUGAUUAGCUAGUUGGUGGGGUAAUGGCCCACCAAGGCGACGAUCAGUAGCUGGUCUGAGAGGAUGAUCAGCCACAUUGGGACUGAGACACGGCCCAAACUCCUACGGGAGUCAGCAGUGGUGAAUAUUGGACAAUGGGCGCAAGCCUGAUCCAGCCAUGCCGCGUGAGUGAUGAAGGCCUUAGGGUUGUAAAGCUCUUUCGUCCGGGACGAUAAUGACGGUACCGGAAGAAGAAGCCCCGGCUAACUUCGUGCCAGCCGCCGCGGUAA